rnacentral:rRNA from 1 species
UACAGAGGGUGCAAGCGUUAAUCGGAAUUACUGGGCGUAAAGCGCGCGUAGGCGGCUGCCUAAGUCGGGUGUGAAAACCCCGGGCUCAACCUGGGAACUGCACUCGAUACUGGGCGGCUAGAGUAUGAGAGAGGGAGGUAGAAUUCCACGUGUAGCGGUGAAAUGCGUAGAUAUGUGGAGGAAUACCGGUGGCGAAGGCGGCCUCCUGGUUCAAUACUGACGCUGAGGUGCGAAAGCGUGGGGAGCAAACAGG